rnacentral:rRNA from 1 species
GUGACUGCGUACCUUUUGUAUAAUGGGUCAGCGACUUAUAUUCUGUAGCAAGGUUAACCGUAUAGGGGAGCCGCAGGGAAACCGAGUCUUAACUGGGCGUUAAGUUGCAGGGUAUAGACCCGAAACCCGGUGAUCUAGCCAUGGGCAGGUUGAAGGUUGGGUAACACUAACUGGAGGACCGAACCGACUAAUGUUGAAAAAUUAGCGGAUGACUUGUGGCUGGGGGUGAAAGGCCAAUCAAACCGGGAGAUAGCUGGUUCUCCCCGAAAGCUAUUUAGGUAGCGCCUCGUGAACUCAUCUUCGGGGGUAGAGCACUGUUUCGGCUAGGGGGUCAUCCCGACUUACCAACCCGAUGCAAACUACGAAUACCGAAGAAUGUUAUCACGGGAGACACACGGCGGGUGCUAACGUCCGUCGUGAAGAGGGAAACAACCCAGACCGCCAGCUAAGGUCCCAAAGUCAUGGUUAAGUGGGAAACGAUGUGGGAAGGCACAGACAGCCAGGAUGUUGGCUUAGAAGCAGCCAUCAUUUAAAGAAAGCGUAAUAGCUCACUGGUCGAGUCGGCCUGCGCGGAAGAUGUAACGGGGCUAAACCAUGCACCGAAGCUGCGGCAGCGACACUAUGUGUUGUUGGGUAGGGGAGCGUUCUGUAAGCCUGCGAAGGUGUGCUGUGAGGCAUGCUGGAGGUAUCAGAAGUGCGAAUGCUGACAUAAGUAACGAUAAAGCGGGUGAAAAGCCCGCUCGCCGGAAGACCAAGGGUUCCUGUCCAACGUUAAUCGGGGCAGGGUGAGUCGACCCCUAAGGCGAGGCCGAAAGGCGUAGUCGAUGGGAAACAGGUUAAUAUUCCUGUACUUGGUGUUACUGCGAAGGGGGGACGGAGAAGGCUAUGUUAGCCGGGCGACGGUUGUCCCGGUUUAAGCAUGUAGGCUGGUUGUCCAGGCAAAUCCGGAUAAUCAAGGCUGAGGUGUGAUGACGAGGCACUACGGUGCUGAAGUAACAAAUGCCCUGCUUCCAGGAAAAGCCUCUAAGCAUCAGGUAACAUCAAAUCGUACCCCAAACCGACACAGGUGGUCAGGUAGAGAAUACCAAGGCGCUUGAGAGAACUCGGGUGAAGGAACUAGGCAAAAUGGUGCCGUAACUUCGGGAGAAGGCACGCUGGUGUGUAGGUGAAGCCCCUGCGGGUGGAGCUGAGACCAGUCGAAGAUACCAGCUGGCUGCAACUGUUUAUUAAAAACACAGCACUGUGCAAACACGAAAGUGGACGUAUACGGUGUGACGCCUGCCCGGUGCCGGAAGGUUAAUUGAUGGGGUUAUCCGUAAGGAGAAGCUCUUGAUCGAAGCCCCGGUAAACGGCGGCCGUAACUAUAACGGUCCUAAGGUAGCGAAAUUCCUUGUCGGGUAAGUUCCGACCUGCACGAAUGGCGUAAUGAUGGCCAGGCUGUCUCCACCCGAGACUCAGUGAAAUUGAACUCGCUGUGAAGAUGCAGUGUACCCGCGGCAAGACGGAAAGACCCCGUGAACCUUUACUAUAGCUUGACACUGAACAUUGAGCCUUGAUGUGUAGGAUAGGUGGGAGGCUUUGAAGCGUGGACGCCAGUCUGCGUGGAGCCAACCUUGAAAUACCACCCUUUAAUGUUUGAUGUUCUAACGUUGGCCCCUGACCGGGGUUGCGGACAGUGUCUGGUGGGUAGUUUGACUGGGGCGGUCUCCUCCCAAAGCGUAACGGAGGAGCACGAAGGUUAGCUAAUCCUGGUCGGACAUCAGGAGGUUAGUGCAAUGGCAUAAGCUAGCUUGACUGCGAGCGUGACGGCGCGAGCAGGUGCGAAAGCAGGUCAUAGUGAUCCGGUGGUUCUGAAUGGAAGGGCCAUCGCUCAACGGAUAAAAGGUACUCCGGGGAUAACAGGCUGAUACCGCCCAAGAGUUCAUAUCGACGGCGGUGUUUGGCACCUCGAUGUCGGCUCAUCACAUCCUGGGGCUGAAGUAGGUCCCAAGGGUAUGGCUGUUCGCCAUUUAAAGUGGUACGCGAGCUGGGUUUAGAACGUCGUGAGACAGUUCGGUCCCUAUCUGCCGUGGGCGCUGGAGAAUUGAGGGGGGCUGCUCCUAGUACGAGAGGACCGGAGUGGACGCAUCACUGGUGUUCGGGUUGUCAUGCCAAUGGCACUGCCCGGUAGCUAAAUGCGGAAGAGAUAAGUGCUGAAAGCAUCUAAGCACGAAACUUGCCCCGAGAUGAGUUCUCCCUGAGACUUUAAGUCUCCUGAAGGAACGUUGAAGACGACGACGUUGAUAGGCCGGGUGUGUAAGCGCAGCGAUGCGUUGAGCUAACCGGUACUAAUGAACCGUGAGGCUUAACCUUACAACGCCGAAG